rfam:Stegodyphus mimosarum contig103953, whole genome shotgun sequence.
GCCUUCGUGGUGUAGUGGUCAGCAUGCUCGACGCGUAACCGAGAGGUCCGUGGUUCGAUUCCCGGCGAAGGCA